rnacentral:misc_RNA from 1 species
UUAAGUUCAGCGGGUAUCCCUACCUGAUCCGAGGUCAAUAUUGGGGUGUGCUUCUGGAGAGCCGACCCUGCGUGGCCUCGGGCGCGACUGUGCUGCGCUCGUGGCCGGCGGGUGCGGGCUGCCAAUGACUUUGAGGUGAGUCGCCGCGCGGGGCGGGACAAGCACCCAACACCAAGCUGGGCUUGAAGGGUUAAAUGACG